rnacentral:rRNA from 1 species
AUGCGGGAUAUCCAAUCAAUUAGAAUUCAGGUUAAAGAUGGUCUUUAUCCUUGUUGUUUUCUUUAUAUGGAAAUCCGGGGCCAGGGGAUCAUUCCCUUGACUCAUACUGAUGAUAAUUUUUUUACUCCACGAGAAAUUGAACAAAAAGCUGCCAAAUUGGCCUAUUUCUUGCGCAUACCAAUUGAAGUAUUUUGA